rnacentral:lncRNA from 1 species
AUACUUUCAUUUUCUAUGUUCAGUGGACCGUGAAAUUGGGGUCAACACUAUAAUUUCAUAUUAAAAUUAGAAAGAUCAAAUCAUAGGGAUGUGUACUAAGUUUCAAACUGAGUGGGCUUCAACUUUAUCAAAUAAAGAGCUGCACUUUAGCGCAUGAUACGCCCGUUGUUUGAAAGACGACGGGCGUAUAAAAAUGGCAAAAAAGACUACAAUGAUAAUGAGGAGCAGCAAGAAGAUGGUGAAAGUGACUCUACUGAAAGUUAUGAUCUAAAUCAGGAAGUAGGUGAUGAAAGUAAGGAUUUCAUUGACGACGGGCGUAUAAAAUGGCAAAAAAGACUACAAUGACAAUGAGGAGCAGCAAGAAGAUAACAGGGAAAGUGAAGAUGGUGAAAGUGACUCUACUGAAAGUUAUGAUCUAAAUGAGGAAGUAGGUGAUGAAAGUAAGGAUUUCAUUGAUGAUGAAGAUAAAAAUUUCAUUGAUGAUGAGGAGGCCUCUUCUGAGAAUGAAAAUGAGGAUUUUUCUGAUGAUCAGGACAGUGAUUACAGUGAAGAAGACACUGAUGAUUAAACCUAGUUCAGCUUUUCAAUAUUUAGCAUAAAAAACAAAUAUCAUUAACAUUGGC